AUUGAACGCUGGCGGCAGGCCUAACACAUGCAAGUCGAGCGGAUGAAGGGAGCUUGCUCCUGGAUUCAGCGGCGGACGGGUGAGUAAUGCCUAGGAAUCUGCCUGGUAGUGGGGGAUAACGUCCGGAAACGGGCGCUAAUACCGCAUACGUCCUGAGGGAGAAAGUGGGGGAUCUUCGGACCUCACGCUACUAGAUGAGCCUAGGUCGGAUUAGCUAGUUGGUGGGGUAAAGGCCUACCAAGGCGACGAUCCGUAACUGGUCUGAGAGGAUGAUCAGUCACACUGGAACUGAGACACGGUCCAGACUCCUACGGGAGGCAGCAGUGGGGAAUAUUGGACAAUGGGCGAAAGCCUGAUCCAGCCAUGCCGCGUGUGUGAAGAAGGUCUUCGGAUUGUAAGGCACUUUAAGUUGGGAGGAAGGGCAGUAAGUUAAUACCUUGCUGUUUUGACGUUACCAACAGAAUAAGCACCGGCUAACUUCGUG
rnacentral:rRNA from 1 species